CCCCGCGGUUAUUACCGAAUGCUGAUAAGGGAAGCCAAAAAUACACUGAAGGCGGGAAGUCGAUCACGACUCGGGAUCGGUUAUCACAUGCACAUUACUUAAGUAAAUGUGAUUAUUAACGUCGAACAAGCAGGAAGCCGGAAAGCUCUACCGCUCGACUCCAGAUCGAAUUGGAAUUUGAGAAUUGGUUUUGCAGAGAAGAGAAAACUGGAGAACCCGGAGAAAAAAACCUUCACAGCACUCCGAGGAGAGAACCACACGACACCUAAGAGGGGACGCAUUAGGAAAGGAUAUGGGUGACGAAGGGUGGGAAGAGAAGGAGAAGGAAGAUUCAAUAUUGCCUUACUUUGGAGAUUAAAAGUGGUGUUCAGCGUUUCCUUUCCGUUUUCAAAUAAUAAUCUAUAAAUCAUUGUAGAUGCCCUACUGUGUAUUUAUCGUUAAUAAAACUGAAAGUUUAAAUGUC